GGUUGGUCUGAGUGCAGUGGUCUUUAUAACUAAUUGAUCACAAACAGUUACAAAUUUCUUUGUUCGUUCUCCACUCCCACUGCUUCACCUGUCUAGAUUAAA
rnacentral:Y_RNA from 1 species